rnacentral:lncRNA from 1 species
AUGUCACUCUGUAUAAAGACAUUGAUACAUGUAAUAACUGUAAAUGUUGUGCUCUGUGUUGCAUCUGUGCUUGAUUUUGUGUCUGUGCUCAGUGUUGUGUCUGUGCUCUGGGUUGUGUCUGUCCUUACUGAUGCGUCUGCGCACAGUGCUGCGGCUGUGCUCAAUGCUGCAUUUGUGCUUGAUGUUGUGUCUGUGCUCAGUGUUGUGAUUGUCCUUAUUAAUGUGUCGGUGCUCGAUGCUGUGACUGCGCAACAUGCUGCGUCUGUGCUUGAUGUGUCUGUGCUCAGUAUUGUGUCUGUCCUUAUUGAUGCGCAGUGCUGGAUGCUGAAUCUGUGCUCAAUACUGCAUCUGCACACGAUGCUGCGUCUGGGCUUGAUGUUGUGUCUGUGCUCAGUGUUGAGUCUGUGCUCUGUGUUGAGUCUGUGCUUGAUGUGUCUGUGCUCAGUGUUGUGUCUGUGCUUGAUGUGUCUGUGCUCAGUGUUGUGUCUGUGCUCUGUGUUGAGUCUGUGCUCAGUGUUGUGUCUGUCCUUAUUAAUGCGUCUGUGCAUGAUGCUGCGUCUGUGCUUGAUGUGUCUGUGCUCAGUGUUGAGUCUGUGCUCUGUGUUGAGUCUGUGCUUGAUGUGUCUGUGCUCAGUGUUGUGUCUGUGCUCUGUGUUGAGUCUGUGCUUGAUGUUGUGUCUGUGCUCAGUGUUGUGUCUGUGCUUGAUGUGUCUGUGCUCAGUGUUGUGUCUGUGCUCUGUGUUGAGUCUGUGCUCUGUGUUGAGUCUGUGCUUGAUGUGUCUGUGCUCAGUGUUGUGUCUGUGCUCUGUGUUGAGUCUGUGCUCAGUGUUGUGUCUGUCCUUAUUAAUGCGUCUGUGCAUGAUGCUGCGUCUGUGCUUGAUGUUGUGUCUGUGCUCAGUGUUGAGUCUGUGCUUGAUGUUGUGUCUGUGCUCAGUGUUGUGUCUGUCCUUAUUAAUGUGUCUGUGCUCGAUGUUGCUCAAUGUUGUUUCUGCCUUCAUUAUUGUGUCUGUGCUCUACAGACUGUUAUGUCUGUGCAUCAUUGAUGUGUCAUCUCCACAUUGUUGUGUCUGGACCUGGAACUUGUGGGUGUGUAGGUGUGCAUGUGUCCCUACUGCAAGACAAACAAAGAGAGGUAUGUAUGAAAAUAAUAAUUGUGCUGCAAUUCAUAUUUAA